UACUGUGUCACUGUACUAUGAAACAAGUUUAUGUCCACGUUGUGCCUCCUUUAUCUCCAAUGACCUCGUCAAGGUCUUCCACACUGACCUCCAUACCAUUACCAAUCUAAGAUUGGUCCCUUGGAGCAAUGCUGAAAUCCAUUGCCAGGUUUCCAACUCCAUUCUUCAUUUUAAUAUAUUUUCAUUAUUAACUAAUGAAGUUCAAUUUCUUUCUUCUACUGUAACUAAUUAUAGUUUAUGCAACAAUGUCCAGCAUGGAGAAGAAGAAUGCCACUUAAACACUAUACAUAGUUGUGUCAUCCAUUUCUGGCCUGAUGUGGUAACUUCUAUUAGCCAUAAGUAUUUGUACUCCUCUCCAACUCGUGUUUACUUACUCUACUGUGUAGCAGAAAGAACACUUGGAAUUCAUUGGCUGCACAGAGCAACAAAGCUUAAAGGGGUGGCCCGUUGAAGCACUGUGGAAAAAUUGCAGUGAAAAGCUGAGAUUGAAUGAGGAGAUAAUCAACGAAUGCUAUACUACUGGAUUUGGAUAUAAGGUUGGCUGCAUGUCUUAGUAUUUAAUUAACACUUCUCCUUAGCUUUUUCUAACAUUGAAUUUCCAAAUUAAUAAAAUGCAGCUUCUGCUGCAAUAUGCUAACGAAACCGCACAUCUGAAGCCAGCUCAAGAAUAUGUGCCAUGGGUGGUGGUGAAUAAUCAGCCACUCAGACAAGUGAGUUUUGUUUAUUUCUCCCUCUUGGUGUGACUGUGAAGUAAAAUUUUGUGACAAGCAACUUCAAUAUUUAUUUCAUGGUUGCAGGACUUUGAAAAUUUUGUGAAAUAUGUGUGCCAAGCUUAUAAAGGAGAUCAUAAACCAGCUGCUUGCAAAGCACAAUCAUCCAAUCUCAGCCCAACCAUCUAUGCAUGUAAUAUCUAUAUAUGGAGUAUUUUUCUUUUGAUUUGUAAAUUUGUAAAAAUGCAUUGUAUCAUUUUUCAUUAUGGGUAGCAUUUGCAGUACCCCAGCCGCCAGUAAUUCCAGUGGUAGACUUCUACAAAUUGGCGCUUCAGUGGCCUCCCUCUGUUUGUAGGUCUACUCUCAACUGUAAACUCCCAAUCCCAACUGAUUUCAAAAUACAUGGAAUUUGGGCGCAAGACGCUCAUGACAUGCCGGUGCCCCCGUACGAUGGAAGGAAGCCUUGCACCCAUCCAGCACCUAUUCUAAGCUGGUUACCACUCCAAGUACGCAUACGUACAUUCUUCGCUUGAAACUAUUAAGUAAUUUAUCUGUAAUCUAAUCAAUUUUUUUUUAUUUUUUUAUUUAAAAGCAUUUGUUGAUGAGCGAUGUAGCUCUUUGGAACCAAUUGCCCACACGUUGGCCGAACUUGGCAUCGACAGGGUCAGACAAUGGGUUUUGGACCAAGGAAUGGGUGAAACAUGGCACAUGUUCCGACUUUGCACAACAUCCUCUGUCAUACUUCCAAUCGGCCAUACAACUUAGGACAAAUUUAAAUCCAGGUAUAUCGAAUAAAUUGUUUUUAUUUUCCCUUCACAUUCCUAUUUGUGUUUAAUAUACUUUAUUGUCUCUUAUUUGUUUUAAUGAAUUUUGGGAUUUAGCUAUGGGACUCACACGUGGAUCCACCUAUACGGUCCGACAAGUUGCGGACAUAGUUUUCCGGCUUAUAGGAGCAUCUCCACAAAUUUCUUGCAGUAAACACAGAAGAACUAGAGUUCUACUACUCGGGGAGAUGUUUAUUUGUUAUGGAAGACCGGGGCCAUCCCAUACCUUUGGAACUCCCCAAAAUUGUUCCAACUUAUUUUACGGCCUGUGCAGUAGUGGAUCCGAUACCAUAGAAUUUCCAUAGCCAGCUUUACCACAGUUGUCUCAUAUAUAUUUAAAAAUGUUCAAUGUAAUACCUGAAUUAUCAGUAUGUGUUUUAUUACAGUACUCUAAAUUAUCAUAUAUGUUUUUUUAUCUUUAUAAAAUCCGAUCAACAACUUUGAAUGAUUUAAACUCAAAAUUAUUCGAUUUUGAAAUAACAUUAAUCUGAAUAUAGAUUUAAAAUUACCCAAAACCAAUCCCAUAACAUUAUAAUGUACUUUUGAAAGAAUAUCAAACCAACAAAUUUAACAAAGAAUUUCGCAUAAUUGUCGAAAAAACACUCAAUUUUUUUGAGUUUUUGGGUUUGAGCCAUUAACCUUUUUUUUUUGGAUUGACACCCUUAACGGUAUGAUUUUUUAAUAAAUUAACCCAAUUUUAACAGAAAAUGUGAGUUGAUCGUCGGUCAAACCAUAGGUAAACAAAGUAGCCUAUGUGGUGUGCCACAUAAGCACGAGUUCGGGUGUCGGUUACGUACGAGGAAGGAUUAGCACUAAAGGUGAUCAUGGGCUGGGCCGGGCCAGGCCUAAAAUUUUUUUGGCCCGCGCCCUAGGCCUGGGCUCGACCUAGCCCAAAAUAUGGGCCUGAAAUUUUGUCCAAGCCCGUCCCGAGAAAAAAUCCUAAGCCCGAGCCCGACCCUUUUUUUAAUAAACACCAAAAUUGUAUCUUAAAAAUAAAAAAUAAAAGAAGUAUUUUAAAAAUACUUUAAAAAUAAAAAAUAAAAAAUAUAUAUUUAUUAUAUAAAUACUAAAUGUCUAAUGGGAAAUGGGGAAAUGGAAAAUGUAUUUUAAAAAUAAAAAUAUAUAUUUAUUAUAUAUUCAGGCCGGGCCUGGACCAAAAAAGUUUUGCAAACGGGCCUCAUUUUUUGCCCAAACCCAUAUUUCGGGCCUAUAUUUUUACCCAAACCCUCUCAUAUUUUGGGUGGGCCAUCGGGCCGGGCCGCCCAACCCAUGAUCACCUCUAAUUAGCACCCUCGCGCCCAAAAUUGGUACUUAGUUAAUUAAUUAGUGUCUCGUCGAAAAUUGAAAACUUUAAAGAGAUUUAAAAUACGAUCCUUUCUUAAAAUAUUAAAAAUUUGAGAAAUGAACAUAUUUCACGUUAAUCGAGAAAAAGAAUCGCGUCCCGUGAGUUAGGACACAAUAUCUUAAAUUCUUGAUGGACAAAUAAACGCCUAAAAAUUUAUUUUAAAAGAUGUUUGACUAUAUCGGUUUUAGAAAAAAUCAUAUUCCGUAAGUUAGAACACGAUCUUUUAGUAAUUCUCGAGAUUAUUUAAAAUUUAUGCUUAAAAAUGUUCGGGUAUUUGGAUUUUUUUUAGAAAGUUGAAACCCCGUAAGUUAGGGAACGACUUUUCGAAUUUCAAAAUAUGAAUAUUGCUUGUUUAAAACAUCAUUUUUAAUGAAUCGAGUAAAAUGUAGGACGAUUUUGUACAUAGUAAAAUAAAUACAGAGACGGAUUAAUUAAUGUAGGAUAAAUAGUAAAUAAAAGAGUCGAAUUAAAAUGCUUUUAAAAUAAAAUAGGCAUAAAAAGGUUGACAUUACGCGAAACAACGAAACAAUAAAGGAAAUAUAAAAUAUAUACAAGUGUAUAUAAAAAUUGGGGAUUAAAUUCAAAAAGUAUGUAUUAUAUUAUAUUCGGGACAAGUGAGUUUGUUUAUUUCUCUCUUGGUGUGAUUGUGAAGUAGCAUUUUGUGACAAGUAACUUCAAUAUUUAUUUCAUGGUUGCAGGACUUUGAAAAUUUUUGUGAAAUAUGUGUUGUUGACACCAUUUUUUUGAUAAAACAGGGUCGAUUUGGGUUUUGAAAAAUAAAGACGAAUAUGGAGUCGCCACCAAUUCUUUUUUGAUGAGGUGUGAUCGGGCCACCUCGAAAGAUGGUUUUUUUUUAUAAACAAUUUGAUUUUAUCAAAACAACAAUUUUGGUCUGCAAAAAUAAAAAAGGGGUUCGGGAGUCGGUUACGUACGAGGAAUGAUUAGCACACUCGUAAUCGAGAAAGAAAAUUUUGAAGAAUUUAAAAUACAAACCUUUGUCAAAAUAUUGAAAAUAUUUAAAAAAGAAAAAAGAGCAUAUUUCACGUUAAUCGAGAAAGAGAAUCGCAUCUUGUAAGUUAGGACACAAUGUCUUAAAUUUUUGACACGAAAAUAAAUGCCAAAAAUUUGCUUAUUUGAGAAGAGUUCGAUUAUCUCGGGUUUAGAAAAGAGAUCAUGUCCCGUGAGUUAGAACACGAUCUUUUGUUAAUUCCCAAGAACAUUUAAAAACUUUGUUUGAAAUGAUUCGUGUAUUUGGAUUUAUCGAGAAAACUGAAACCCCGUAAGAUAGGGUACGAUUUUUCCGAAUACCAAAAUACGAAAUGCUAUUUAUUUAAAACAAAUUUUAAUAUAUCGAGUAAAAAAUGAAACACGAUGUCGUAAUAAAAAAUGCGAAAAUAAAUUACAUUGUUGGUAUGCAUAACAAAAUAAUAAUACGAUGAUACAAGCAUAAAUAGCACGAAUGCAAGUAAAUGAAAGAUAAAUACAGAGAUGAAUUAAUUAAUGUAAGAUAAAUAGUAAAUAAAAGAGUCGAAUUAAAAUGCUUUUAAAAUAAAAUAGGCAUAAAAAGGACGACAUUACGCGAAACAACGAAACAAUAAAGGAAAUAUAAAAUAUAUGCAUUAGAGGUGCUCAUGGGCCGGGCGGCUCGACGGCCCGCCCGAAAUAUGGGAGGGUUUGGGUAAAAAUAUAGGCCCGAAAUAUGGGCUUGGGCAAAAAAACGAGGCCCGUUUAGAAAACGGGCCGGGCCGGGCCUCGGGCACCACUUUUUCGGCCCGGGCCCGGCCCGGCCCGAUUUAAUAAAUAUAUUUAUUUUUUUAAUUUUAAAAUAUUUUUUACAUACUUUUUAAUUUUUUAAAAAUUUUAAAAUACUUUUAAAAUACUUUUUUUUAUUUUUUUAAUUUUAAAAUAUUUUUAAAAUAUUUUUAAAAUAUUUUUUAAUUUUAAAAUAUUUAAAAAAUAUUUUUAAAAUAUUUUUUUUAAUUUUUUAAAAUUUUUAAAAUAAAAAUGGGCCGGGCCAGAUCAGGCCCGGGCUUAUGAUUUUUUUCUCGGGCUGGGCCUGGGCAAAAUCUUAGGAUCAUAAUAUUAAUAAUAAAUAAUAAUGAUGCAAUAUAAUAAUUUUAAUAAUGUUAAAAUAAUUAAUUUAACAGGAAAAAUAACUAAAACAGCAGAUUGAGGGUUAAAUUGAAAACAAACGAGGUUUUAGGGCCAAAAUUAAAAAUGAAAAGCACAAAAAAACUAAAUCACAACACGCGUGAAAGGAAGAGGAGCAAAAGGGGAAAUACUCCCUCGCUGACAAACGGCAUCGUUCUAGUGAGGCGCGUGUGCAUGGUUUGGGGACCAAAUUAAAACAGAAGAAAAAUUAUGUAGCCAAAAUUACAAAUAUAUGAAAAAACUGCAUUCAAAACAACACAAAAGUGGAGGCACCAAUUGUGAAAAUAUCCCCCUAAAUGAAGACACGUGGAUCCUCUUUGCGGGUCGGGUCAACACGCGGAUCCGAAGGACAAAACGACGUCGUUUCGAGCUUAAGGACGCCAUUACUUGGCGGUAUAAAAGCUAAUUUUUUAAGAAAAGAAAUCAUUCCCUGUAGUUUGUAAAGAAACAAAAAAAAAGGGAAAAGGGGGUCUCUUUUCUCUGGAUGAAGUCCAGAUUCCGGCCAAAGGGCCGCCUUGUAUCCGCCGCGCCGCCGCCACACCGGCCGCCGUAUGCGUGCCGGAAAGUUCAAAGGUGAGUUUUUUUUUCCGCAUAUUUGUGUAUGUAUAUAUAUAAACUAUUCUUUUUUUAAAAAGAAAAAAAAAUGUAGAUAUAUGUAUGUCCAAAGAAGAAAAGAAAAAACUCAAAAAAAAAAACGCAAGUAAAUAAAAAAACGCAAGUAAAAUAGAACAGACGGAAAAAAGAAAAGAGCAGAGACGAGAAAAAAAAACUACCUUUAAAAUUUUUUGUUUUUUGAUUCCUGUGUUAAAAAAAAAAGCUACAUCACUGUUUGUAGCUUUUAAAAAAUAGAGAGAUUGAAUUCUUAAAAAUAAAAAUUAAGUAUUAAAUUUCAAAAAGUACAUAAAUGUGAUAUCCUUUAAAUUUAAUCUUUUAAAAAUUGGGGAUUAAAUUCAAAAAGUAUCUAUUAUAUUAUAUUUGAUCUUAAUCCUUCCUCACAUGGAUACAAAUGCAAAUAAGUAAAUUUUCCUAAAUUCCAUAUAAUUAUUAUAACCUAUCAAAUGCUUACCUUUUAUGCUUCUUUGCUUCCUGGUUAAGGUUUGGACCAUAGAUGACACCUACCAACUCCCAUUUUAUUCAUUCCUCUUACCCAAUUACAAAGAAAAUCAAAAUAGCAAGAUGCAGAGGCCAAGGUUUGAAUUGCCAGAAGCUUUGGUUAUGGAAAUUCCGUCAAAGCUUCCAGUUAAAUCCCUUACUCGCUUCAACUGUGUUUGUAAGUAUUGGUGUUCUUCUUUUCAAACUCCUCAUUUCAUUUCCAAUAAUUAUCACAACAACCUUGAAAACAACAACCUUAAUCUACUGCUUAGUCGCUGUGAUGGUAACACCUUCCAACGUUAUUUCUCUCAACUUUCAAAUGAAAAAUAUCAAAAUUAUAUAGUAAAACAAAACAUUCACUUGCCCUUUUUUAAGAAUGAUCGCCCCUCUGUUUAUGGUGCUUGUCAUGGAUUGUUGUGUUUACUUGAUCCUUCAAAGGAUAAGGCUGCCAUUUGGAACCCAUCAACCAGAGAGUUUAAAAUCCUUCCACCAUCUUCAAUCCAACGCCCUCCAUAUUUUUCACCAUUCGAAGAAACCUACCUUACUUUAGAUGACGUUUCUUUUGACCACGCUUCUUUUGGGUUUGAUUCUAAAACUGAUGACUACAAAGUCAUACGAUUUGUUACUCUUACUUUUGUUAAUAGUGAAGAACAAUAUCCACAUCCUCAUUUUAUGGACCAAGUUGAGUUGUAUUCUCUUAGAAGUAAUUCCUGGAAGGAAAUUCCAUGUCCUGAUUAUAAACCAACUGAAACAACUUUGGGAAAUAAUUAUGUAGACGGAAUUUGCUAUUGGAAAACAGAGACAGGGGCAUAUCUUGAUUUUAGAGGACUAAUUCUUUCAUUUGACAUGGGGAAUGAGAAGUUCUCAAUUUUACCUAUCCCAGAAUUCGUUGGGUCUUUCCCAGAAUACUAUGUUAAUCUAUUGGUGUUUAAUGGAUCACUUGGUGCUAUUGUUUACCCAACGGAAGGAAUUGACACGUCUUUUGAUUUAUGGGUUACAAGUGAAGGAGUGUGGACUAAACAAUUCAAUAUUAAAUCCAUUUCUGGAGUUGUACGCCCACUGGGAUUUGGAAAAAAUGGUGACUUGUUUCUUAGAGACACAAAUGAUGAAGUACUCCUAUUUGACGCCUCCACCCAAGAGCUUAAGGAGCUUCAGAUUAAUACUUAUCUAGAUCAUUUUCGGUUCACCAUCUCCCUUCACGCUUAUUUAGAGAGCCUGGUUCGUAUCAAUGGAAUACAAGAGAAUAUUGAGAAACAUGUAAUACGUCAACCAGCGAGAGAUGCAUCAAAUGAAUACUAAAUCAAAUGAAUACUAAAUAUGAAGAAGGCAUGAAAUGGAUACUGAAUAUGAAGAGGGAUGCGGAGCUAGAACAUAUAUGUGUAAGAUGUAAUAGGAAUUUUUUGUUGUGAGCUUCUUAAUAUUGCUGUUAUUGUUUGGGUUAUAUGUUUGAGAUGUUAACUAUUUCCUGGUUUCUGUAUUUGGAGAAUUGUUCAGUUUAUAUUUGGUUUUUGUUGGUUAGAUAUCUAUAAGAUUGCUUAGAUGUUGAUAUUGUUUUCUGCGGAAAAAAUUGCAAGUCGAAGAGGAUUUGAUGUUUAAGGUUGUCAUUAACUAAUUAAAAUAAUUGCUGUAAGUGGCAUAAUUUUUAUAACUUAAUCCAAAACAGGUCUCACCUGAUGGUUAAGAUUCUUAAAUAGAUGAAGAUCCGAUGAACAUCACAACAUGAGCAUCGAAUCAGCCACAAAUCCAUGUUGCCAUGAUGCCAUUUCGUUCGAGUGAGUGAAAUUAUGGUACUUUUUUCAAGUUACCUUGUGUUACAAGCUUGUGUGUUAAUUGCUUUAACUACUAUAAAAUUCAAUCUGCAUUCACUUUCAAAAGAAAAUCCUCUCUAUUCUGAAUGAUGGUUUGAGUUUUGCCAUCCCUAAAUAAUAGGGAUGAUAUCUUAAAGAUCAAAUAUGAUUUGAGAAAACUAGCUACACUUGGAUUUCAUUUCUCACUCCAGCAUACGAGUUUGCAAAAUAGCACAGAGACAGUCUGGAUUGCUAAGCUUUUUCUCUAUUAUAGCGCAGCAACGCUUGGAAACUGGAGCUCUUCGGUAUUUGGUUGCGUAUGUACAUGGAGACAGCUUCUGAGCUUCCUUCUCUACGUCAUGCUUCCCACAGGACCAUAAUAAUCAUGAGUUACAUCCACUCCAUGGAAUCCUGCAAUGCUUAUACUCACAAUAAAUACUAUAACCCACAUGUAUUUCACUUGAGUUUCCAUUUCUUGAAUGCAAUAAUCAAUUAUACUUAUCUACAAUUUGAACCCAAACGAAGACAUUUCUCAAAAAUUUUAUACCCAAAAUAGCUGAAAAGUAGCUAAACAAAGAUGAAUUCCACCGAUUACAGUGAUUUGGAGUUACCAGAUUAUGAAGUCAUCAAUUACACCUUGUUUAUACUCUUUCACAAGCAACCUUAUAUAUGAAACUGAUCCCCAAUUUAAGCUUGUUGUUUUAUAUAUCUUGUUUCUCCUUCUAAAGACCCAAUUUCAAGUCUUCCUUUUUAAGGUGUUGUAUAAUUGCUCUCUAGAGAUGAUGACUUUGAAAAUUUGUCACAUGGUUUAUUGAAAGUGACAAAAAACUAUGGUGGUUAACUAUCACCCCAAUGCUUAACAAUAAUGGUUAGCUUUCAGUUGGAGACCCUCUUUAAUUAUAUAAAAAUAGUCAAUUUUCAAUUUUAGUUAAUUUUUAGUUUUGAUCCCUGACCUUUAGUUUCUUUCAUAAUUUGGCGCUUCAACUCCCAACUCCAUAACGCCAUUUUCUGUAACACAGAAGAAAUAGUGUUCUACUACUUCGGGAGAGGUAUAUUUUUAUGGAAGGCCGAGAUUAUUCCAACUCCUUGGAACACCUCAAAAUUGUUCCAACUUAUUUACUGCCAAUUUAAGAGCCGACCAAUGUCAUAGAAUUGUGCUAUGUAUCUGGCAAGCAAUAAAAAAUUUUAUGAAUAACAAUUUAAUAAAAAUGAUUAGCAAAAUUGAAGUAGCUUUCAUGCAUUAAAUGUUUGGCUUUUAUGCCUCUUUGCUACAUUGGUAAGGUUUGAUCAAUUUGCCUUUUAUGUAUUUGGCUGAAUUUGGUUGUAAUGGUUUCGCAGGCAUUUGAUUGAGCUGAGACACGGAGAGAAAGGAGCAAAGCCCCAUCUGAACCUAUUUAUGAUUAGUCAUCAUGACCUUCCCUUCCCAUCCCUUCUCACCUCACUCAUUUAUUACUUUCUGCAACUGCCCCUCCACUUCGCCUUCUUUUUAUUUCACCAUAUAAACAUGUAUGUAUGUAGGUUAGAGUGCGGGAUCUUGUUGUUUUACUUCCAUUUUGGCUGAUUAGUCUAAUCUUCAUGUAAUGAACUAUGCUAUGUUGUUUCGAUUAUUUAAAUAGAAAAAUUGCAGUGAACAGCUGAGAUUGAAUGAGGAGAUAAUCAACAAAUUAAUGCUACGCUACUGGAUUUGGAUAUAAGGUUAGCUGCAUGUCCUAGUAUUUAAUUAACAUUGAAUUUCCAAAUUAAUAAAAUGCAGCUUCUGCUUGCAAUAUGCUAACGAGACUGCACAUCUGAAGCCACCUCAAGAAUAUGUGCCAUGGGUGGUGGCGAAUAAUCAGCCUAGUGAGUUUGUUUAUUUCUCUCUCUUGGUGUGAUUGUGAAGUAGCAUUUUGUGACAAGUAACUUCAAUAUUUAUUCCAUGGUUGCAAAACUUUGAAAAUUUUGUGAAAUAUGUGUGUCAAGCUUAUUAAGGUGAUCAUAAACCAGCUGCUUGCAAAGCAGUCUCAGCCCAACCAUCCAUGCAUGUAAUAUCUAUAUAUGUAAAAAGAAAAACAAACAAGCACGGUGAAUGAUUGGAAAUGUUGAAUGUUGAUAAUAAAUUCAAUUCUUGAGAAACCAAACUCACAAGUAUAAACUACUACAUUACAUCUUGAUGGCUGAGCUGAGAUAGCAAGGAUUUGAUAAAUGAAUCAAGUCUUGACUUUGUUGGUUGUCCCACUGUUUUAUUCCUUUUUAUCUAUGGUAUGAUAUGCAACAAUCACUUAUAGUAUUCCUUUUGCAUUAAAUAUAUAUUGUAACAUUUAGGUUAAUAUAAUUUCAAUUUACUCAACAAAGCAAGGAAUCUUGCUAAGCUAAUCUUUCUGUCAGCUGGUGUGAAUCAUAACAAAAAUAGAUAUAUUUUGAUGCUUGAAAAUACCAGCUAACCAAUUCUACAUUAUAAUUUGGAGACUCAAAGCAUUGUUUUGAUAAAGGAAUUUGCAUUAAUAUUAUGGUGGGUAAGUUGUGUUGGAACUUUCAGCAAAACAAAAUGAGAGACCGAAUGAAGCAAAGAAAAAAAACUUGAAAGUGAAAAAAACUCUGUAAAAAUGUAACUGAAAGUCAUGUAUUUUCAUUCAAAUUUUGAAUAUAUGUGAGUUACAAAAGGUUUGUACAGUUACCUACUAGUUAACUGCUCCCAUUAAAAUUAUACUAAAAAUAUUACAACUUGCAUACAAAAGAAAGCUGUCAUACCAGCUAUUACAUCAAAAUACAAAAGAUUUGGACAAAGUUACAUAGGCACAAAUCAUCCAAAAUAAGUUGCUUCAAUCGGACCAGCUCCAUUUCUUUACUUCAGAACAGUAUAGCAGCUUGACAUUGCUCAAUUUGCUGCUGCUGGUCUUUUGUUGCAAUGCAGGCCAAAGUUCAACAAGUUGAUACGUGAAAGCAAAUCCAUUUUUGUUUACUGUCAAUGGAAUCUUUGACAGUUUUGCACAUGUUUUCUUUUGUCCAUCAAAGCUUUGGGAUUAACUUCUUAUAAACUACAACCUUCAUACAUAAAUAGAUAAAUAAUUGAAAGUUUCAUAAAACGAAAAUGGAAACUCACUAACCAGAUUCUAGCAAUUGAACAAAAAAAAUCAAAUCUUUUCCCUCUCAAAAAAGUACUUACUUUUAAAAGUUUGGGUUUUUAUUCUUGCAAUUUUCUAUUUUCCCCCUUUUUUAUUGAUUGAGUUUCAAUCCCCACAAAGAAUUUAAUUUUGUUUGGCUUUUUGAAAGCUAUUGAGUCACAAUAAACACAAUAACCCACAUGUACUUCACUUGAGUUUCCAUUCAACUUGAACCCCAAACGAAGACAUUUCUCAACAAUUUAUACCCAAACAAAUAGCUAAAAUGUAGCUAAACAAAGAUGAAUUCCACCGAUUACAAUGGACAUGGAUUUGGAGUUACCAUAUCAUUAAGUCAUCAACUACACCUUGCUUCUAUGUAUGCUCUUUCUCAAGCAACCCUAUAUAUGAAACUGAUCCACAAUUUAUAUAUCUUGUUUCUCUAUCCAAAGACCCAAUUUCAACGUUUAUACUUCUUUUAUAAUUUGGUGCUUCAACAUUUAUAAUGUCAUUAUUUAGUCUUAAUAUUUAGGAAAAAUACCAAAAAAAGCCCUAUUUUUUUAAAAUUUACCGAAAUGGGCCCGGUAUUUUAUUAUUUACCGGAAUGGGCCAUUUUCCCCAAAAUCGCGUCCACGUCAGCGCGAUGUCAGGGGACGUGUCAGCAAAUCGCGUCCACGUCAGCGCGCUUUGCUUACGUGGACACAAAUCGCGCCUACGAGGACGCGAUUUUCUGACACAUCAGCAAAACGCGCUGAUGUCCACGCGAUUUGCUGACACGUCCCCUGACAUCGAGCUGACGUGGACGCGAUUUCGGGGAAAAUGACCCAUUCCGGUAAAUAAUAAAAUACCGGGCCUAUUUCGGUAAAUUUUAAAAAAAUAGGGCUUUUAUGUGUAAUUUGCCCCCUUUUUUUGGUAUUUUGCCCCUAAUAAUACAUAUUAAUGUAUUACUGUAAUAUGUAGCUCAAAUUAUGUAUUGUAGUUAAUAUUCAUAAUAUUGUAGCUCAAAUUGUUAAUCCGUCUAUACUAUUGUACUAAUAAUAUAUAUUAAUGUAAUAUUGAAGAGUUAAUUGAUUAAAAAAAUAAAUGCAACAAGUACAAAAAAGAUUCAAAAUUAUUACCAAGAAGAUUUGAACCAAGGUACUAAGGGAAAAGAGCAAGCAUCUUAACCAACUAAGCUAAACUAAUUAAUUAACAUGUUAUAAAAAUACUGUUAUUGUCUUAAUUAUAUUAUUUACGUUCUAAUGAUUUAUCGGACCUAUUCCAUACACGUGUCAAGUCAAAAAAAUAAUACAACAAUUCUGUAAAAAAAAUCCGAUGUUUACUUCAAAUAAUAAGAAAAAUAAUGAUUUGAAUGUUUCAAAAUUCAAAUUUAAACCGAAAAAAUCAAAAUUUAGAGGCAAAAAAGGAUCUUUUUCGAUGAAAACUGUGGCAAACCGCCUUCGGCUGUUUGUCAGUGCGUAGAUCUCGAAAAGUUAUUCGAAAUAAAAAAAUCGUCACAAUCGGACAACCGAGCCAAAAGUUAUGGCCUUUCAAAGUUUUCAAAGCUAAAAAACAUAAACUGUUCAUGAAUUAUUGCUUCCACAUCAGCAAAUCGCGCUUACGUGGACGCGAUUUGUUGCCACGUAAGUAAUCGCGCUGACGUGGAUGCGACUUGCUGACACAUCCCCUGACAUCGCGCUAACAUGGAUGCGAUUUUGGGGAAAAUAGCCCAUUCCUGUAAAUAAUAAAAUACCGGGCCCAUUUCGGUAAAUUUUAAAAAAAUAGGGCUUUUUUUGGUAUUUUGCCCAAAUAUUAAGACUAAAUGAGGUAAUGGACCGAAUAGCACUACUCGAAUGAAAUGGAGGGAUCGAAAUAGAAAAUAUCCUCGCCCUCCAAAACUCAUCGCUUUGCGCGGGACCGAAUUGAAAUAAAAGAAAAAUCAUAGAGUAAAAAUUGAAAAUAAAAAUAAACUGUAUUAAAAAGAUAGAGAAUGCAAAAGGGCUAAAUGCAAGAAUUUCCCAUUAAUAAAAAAGGAAAAAGGGCUACGGUAAAACGACAUCGUUUUGACCACUGGGAUUAAGACCCAAAACGGCGCAAAUGCAAAAAAGAAGCGGUAAAGUUUGAAUUUUCUUCUUUAUUUUUUAUUUUGUCCCUUUUUUUAAAAAAAAAUAAAAUAGAACAGAUGAAAAAAAAGAAAAGAGUAGAAAGGAGAAAAAAAAACUACCUUUAAAAUUUUUUGUUUUUGUGUGCAAAAAAAAAACUACAUCACUGUUUGUGGCUUUUAAAAAAUAGAGAGAUUGAAUUCUUAAAAAUAAAAUUUAAGAAUUAUAUUUCAAAUAUACAAAAAGUACAUAAAUGUGAUAUCCUUUAAAUACAAAAAUAGCACGAGUGCAAGUAAAUGAAAGAUAAAUACAGAGACGAAUUAAUUAAUGUAAGAUAAAUAGUAAAUAAAAGAGUCGAAUUAAAAUGCUUUUAAAAUAAAAUAGGUAUAAAAAGGUUGACAUUACGCGAAACAACGAAACAAUAAAGGAAAUAUAAAAUAUAUGCAUGUGUAUAUAAAAAUAAGAAGAAUAUAUGGAUAUAUAUAUUUAUUUUAAAAUUAUGAAAUAGAAAUAUAUGUCGUAUGUAUAUAUAUACAUAUAUGUAUGUAGAUUAAAAUGUACAUAUGUAUAUGGAUGUAUAUAAGAAUUAUGGAAUAUAGAAGAACAUAUAAAAGUAUGUGUACAUGUGUAUGUAUUUAUGACAAUAAAAAAAAUUCGUAUAUACAUAUAUUAUAAAAUGUGUGCAUGUAUUUAAAAUUAUGAAAUAUGGAAAAUAUAUAUAAGUAUGUACAUGUAUAUCUAUAUGUAUAUAAAUUAAAAUACGUGGAUAUAGAUAUAAGUAUGUGUAUGUAUGAAAAAUGAAAUAUAAAAGUAUAUUUAUAAUAACCUUAAAAAUAUACAUAUAUAUAUAUUAGAAAAGUACAUGCGGUUAUGUAUAUAUAUAUAACAAAAUUUUAGAAUAAAAAGGUACAAACGAGAUAAGGAUAAUAAUAUUAAUAAUAAAUAAUAAUGAUGCAAUAUAAUAAUUUUAAUAAUGUUAACAUAAUUAAUUUAACAGGAAAAAUAACUAAAAUAGCAUAUUAAGGAUUAAAUUGAAAAUAAACAAGGUUUUAGGGUCGAAAUUAACAAUAAAAAGCACAAAAAGGACUAAAUCACAACACGCGUGAAAGGAAGAGGAGCAAAAACGGAAAUAUUCCCUCGCUGACCAAACGGCAUCGUUCCAUUGAGGCGCGUGUGCAUGGUCUGGGGACCAAAUUAAAACAGACGAAAAAUUCUGUAGCGAAAAUUACAAAUAUAUGAAAAAACUACAUUGAAAGCGAGACAAAAGUGGAGGCACCAAUUGUGAGAAUAUCCCCCUAAAUGGUGACACGCGGAUCCUCUUUACGGGUCGGGUCACAAGCGGAUUCUAAGGCCAAAACGACGUCGUUUCGAGCUCAAGUACGCCAACCAAAACGACAUCGUUUUGCUGGGGUGUGGGGGGGGCUAUAAAAGACAACUUUUGAGGAAAAGAAAUCAUUCCCGGCAGUCUGUAAAGAAACCAAAAAAAGGGAAAAGGGGGUCUCUUUUCUCUGGAUGAAAUCCAGAUUCCGGCCAAAGGGCCGCCUUGUCUCCGCCGCACCGGCCGACGUAGCCGAGGCCAGAAAGUUCAAAGGUGAGUUUUUUUAUUUUUAUUUUUUUGUGUAUGUAUAUAUAUAAACUGUUCUUUUUUUAAAAAAAAUGUAGAUAUAUGUAUGUCGAAAGAAGAAAAGAAAAAACUCAAAAAAAAAACACAAGUAAAAUAGAACAGACGAAAAAAAGAAAAGAGCAGAAACGAGAAAAAAAAACUACCUUUAAAUUUUUUUUUGAUUGCCGUGUGAAAAAAAAAACUACAAAACUGUUUCAGGCUUUUAAAAAAUAGAGAGAUUGAAUUCUUUAAAAUAAAAAUUAAGUAUUAAAUUUUAAAUAUACAAAAAGUAAAUAAAUAUGAUAUCCUUUAAAUUUAUUCUUUUAAAAAUUGGGGAUUAAAUUUAAAAAGUACGUAUUAUAUUAUAUUUGAUCUUAAUCCUUCCUCACAUGGAUACAAAUGCAAAUAAGUAAAUUUUCCUAAAUUCCAUAUAAUUAUUAUAACCUAUCAAAUGCUUACCUUUUAUGCUUCUUUGCUUCCUGGUUAAGGUUUGGACCAUAGAUGACACCUACCAACUCCCAUUUUAUUCAUUCCUCUUACCCAAUUACAAAGAAAAUCAAAAUAGCAAGAUGCAGAGGCCAAGGUUUGAAUUGCCAGAAGCUUUGGUUAUGGAAAUUCUGUCAAAGCUUCCAGUUAAAUCCCUUACUCGCUUCAACUGUGUUUGUAAGUAUUGGUGUUCUUCUUUUCAAACUCCUCAUUUCAUUUCCAAUAAUUAUCACAACAACCUUGAAAACAACAACCUUAAUCUACUGCUUAGUCGCUGUGAUGGUAACACCUUCCAACGUUAUUUCUCUCAACUUUCAAAUGAAAAAGAUCAAAAUUAUAUAGUAAAACAAAACAUUCACUUGCCCUUUUUUAGGAAUGAUCUCCCCUAUGUUUAUGGUGCUUGUCAUGGAUUAUUGUGUUUACUUGAUCCUUUAAAGGAUAAGGCUGCCAUUUGGAACCCAUCAACCAGAGAGUUUAAAAUCCUUCCACCAUCUUCAAUCCAACGCCCUCCAUAUUUUUCCCCAUUCGAAGAAACCUACCUUACUUUAGAUGACGUUGAUUUUGACCACGCUGCUUUUGGGUUUGACUCUAAAACUGAUGACUACAAAGUCAUACGAUUUGUUACUCUUACUUUUGUUAAUAGUGAAGAACAAUAUCCACAUCCUCAUUUUAUGUACCAAGUUGAGUUGUAUUCUCUUAGAAGUAAUUCCUGGCAGGAAAUUCCAUGUCCUGAUUAUAAACCAACUGGAACAACUUUGGGAAAUAAUUAUGUAGACGGAAUUUGCUAUUGGAAAACAGAGACAGGGGCAUAUCUUGAUUUUAGAGGACUAAUUCUUUCAUUUGACAUGGGGAAUGAGAAGUUCUCAAUUUUACCUAUCCCAGAAUUCGUUGGGUCUUUCCCAGAAUACUUUGUUAAUCUAUUGGUGUUUAAUGGAUCACUUGGUGCUAUUGUUUACCCAACGGAAGGAAUUGACACGUCUUUUGAUUUAUGGGUUACAAGUGAAGGAGUGUGGACUAAACAAUUCAAUAUUAAAUCCAUUUCUGGAGUUGUACGCCCAUUGGGAUUUGGAAAAAAUGGUGACUUGUUUCUUAGAGACACAAAUGAUGAAGUACUCCUAUUUGACGCCUCCACCCAAGAGCUUAAGGAGCUUCAGAUUAAUACUUAUCUAGAUCAUUUUCGGUUCACCAUCUCCCUUCAUGCUUAUUUAGAGAGCCUGGUUCGUAUCAAUGGAAUACAAGAGAAUAUUGAGAAACAUGUAAUACGUCAACCAGCGAGAGAUGCAUCAAAUGAAUACUAAAUAUGAAGAAGGCAUGAAAUGGAUACUGAAUAUGAAGAGGGAUGCGGAGCUAGAACAUAUAUGUGUAAGAUGUAAUAGGAAUUUUUUGUUGUGAGCUUCUUAAUAUUGCUGUUAUUGUUUGGGUUAUAUGUUUGAGAUGUUAACUAUUUCCUGGUUUCUGUAUUUGGAGAAUUGUUCAGUUUAUAUUUGGUUUUUGUUGGUUAGAUAUCUAUAAGAUUGCUUAGAUGUUGAUAUUGUUUUCUGCGGAAAAAAAUUGCAAGUCGAAGAGGAUUUGAUGUUUAAGGUUGUCAUUAACUAAUUAAAAUAAUUGCUGUAAGUGGCAUAAUUUUUAUAACUUAAUCCAAAACAGGUCUCACCUGAUGGUUAAGAUUCUUAAACAGAUGAAGAUCCGAUGAACACCACAACACAGCACGAGCAUCGAAUCAGCCACAAAUCCAUGUUGCCAUGAUCCCAUUUCGUUCGAGUGAGUGAAAUUAUGGUACUUUUUUCAAGUUACCUUGUGUUACAAGCUUGUGUGUUAAUUGCUUUAACUACUAUAAAAUUCAAUCUGCAUUCACUUUCAAAAGAAAAUCCUCUCUAUUCUGAAUGAUGGUUUGAGUUUUGCCAUCCCUAAAUAAUAGGGAUGAUAUCUUAAAGAUCAAAUAUGAUUUGAGAAAACUAGCUACACUUGGAUUUCAUUUCUCACUCCAGCAUACGAGUUUGCAAAAUAGCACAGAGACAGUCUGGAUUGCUAAGCUUUUUCUCUAUUAUAGCGCAGCAACGCUCGGAAACUGGAGCUCACCGGUAUUUUGAUAAUUAUUGGAAAUGUUGAAUUUUGAUAAUAAAUUCAAUUCUUGAGAAACCAAACUCACAAGUAUAAACUACUACGUUACAUUUUGAUGGCUGAGCUGAGAUAGCAAGGAUUUGAUAAAUGAAUCAAGUCUUGACUUUGUUGGUUGUCCCACCGUUUUAUUCCUUUUUAUCUAUGGUAUGAUAUGCAACAAUCACUUAUGGUAUUCCUUUUGCGUUAAAUAUUGUAACAUUUAGGUUAAUAUUUGACCUUGAACACCUUCAAUAAUUUCAAUUUACUCAACAAAGCAAGGAAUCUUGCUAAGCUGAUCUUUCUGUCAGCUGGUGUGAAUCACAACAAAAAUAGAUAUAUUUUGAUGCUUGAAAACACCAGCUAACCAAUUUUACAUUAUAAUUUGGAGACUCAAAGCAUUGUUUUGAUAAAGGAAUUUGCAUUAAUAUUAUGGUAGGUAAGUUGAUAUGUGAAAGCAAAUCCAUUUUUGUUUAUUGUCAAUGGAAUCUUUGACAAUUUUGGCAUGUUUUCUUUUGCACAUUAAAGCUUUGGGAUUAAUUUAAAUUCUUUUUAUCAAACAUUUGAGAUCUUAUAAACUGCAACCUUCAUACAUAAAUAGAUAAACAAUUGAAAGAUUGGAAACAAAGAAAAGAGAAAUUUCAUAAAACAAAAAUGAAAACUCACCAAUCAGAUUUCUAUUUACAUUAAUUGUUUAUUCUUCCAAUUUUCAAUUUUCAAUUUUCUCUUCUUUUUCUUUUUUUAUCGAUUGAGUUUCAGUCCCCACUAACAAUUUAAUUUUGUUCGACUUUUUUGAAAGCUAUUUGAGUUCCAUAGAACCCUGCAAUGCUUAUACUCACAAUAAACACCAUAACCCACAUCUACUUCACUUGAGUUUCCAUUUCUUGAAUGCAAUAUUCAGCAUAACUAAGACAUUUCUCAAAUAAUAUUCCCUAAAUGCAUUGAAUUUGUAGUCCGGUUCAUUUUACGGUAUGAUGAUAACAACAAAUAAUAUUUUGGCAGAUUAUGUGUAAAAGAAUAUUUUAUGUGUAAUUAAUGUAAUGAUAUGAUAUGAUAUGUUAGAGUUGAAAGAAUGUAUUAUAAGAGUUUAUGUUAAAAUGUUGUGUUUAUUUUAGAAUGUCAUAAUCAAUAUGUACAUGUGGUUUAUUGAAAGCAAUAGAUGAACACUAAUAAAUAUAAAGAUAUACUUAGGGUGAGUUUGGAUGGGCGGUGCGUUUACCUGCGGUUAAUGUAAAAACAACGGUGGCGGUGAGAUUAAAUACUGUAGCAACACUGUAGCGUGAGACAAAAUGUAGGCUAAACGCACCGCACCGCACCCAAUCGCCCAUCCAAACCCACCCUAAGUUUUGCAUUCGAUCCACGUUAAGUUACAAUAAUUAUAUUCAACUUUAAGUUUUAAGAUUACGUUGUAUGCAUAGAUGAAGUCUGCAUGGGUAUAAUGAAUUUGUAUAUUAUAUAAUUAUUGUGGCAUGGUAGUUUAUAUUAUAUAAUUAGUUUAUAUCCUUUUCAUCAAACACUUAAGUGCUUGUAAAGUGCAACCUUUAUACAUUAAUAGAUAAAUUUCAAUUUUAGUCUCUAUACUAUGUUAAAAUUUGAGAUUUAAACUUUAUAUUUGAUCUUUUUUAUAUAGUUUGGUGCUUCAACGUUUAUAAUGUCAUUAGUUAGUUUAAAUAUUUUAUUCUAAUUAAAAUUCUGACAUAAAUUUAAAGGAGUGUUAACAUCGUUAAAUUUUUUUGUUAAAAUCAAGUCCAUUAUAAUUUUAUUUUUUGUGACAUGAUUAUAAUGUUGAAUUCAAAUAUUUUAGUAAUACGUAGGUGCGUCUUCUUCUCUCUAUAAAUAAAUAGAGUCGGGGGUUUUAGAGUUUUUAAACUGUCCAUCAUAGUUCGGUUCUCGAUUUUUUCAUAUUAAUUUUUGGUUUUGAAUUUUUAGACUUAUUUUGACAAAAUUAACUUUGUUUUGUGCAUUUUUUUAAUAUUAUUUGAUAGAUCUGAAAACCCUUUUCAUAAAUAUGACAAUAUCUCUUUAAAUAAUUAUUAAUUUUUAUUGAUGGUGUCCAAUGAUUUGCAUUAAAAUUAAAAUUGACUGAUUUUCUUGAAAAACUAAUCUACUUUAUUUUUGCCAGUAAAUUUGGUAGUGGUUAGCCCUGCAAAUAAGAAUAUUUUAUCGUAAUCCUUCUUCACAUGGAUAAACCUGCCAAUGCAUGAAGAUACCAGCUAACCAAUUCUACAUUAUAAUUUUGAGACUCAAAUCAUUUCUUUCCCAUCACAAAUCACAACUUCAAAAGGCUAUGUUCCUUUCUAAUCUUCUCUUAUAAAAACUAGUGUGUUUUGUAAAAUCAUUUUUUUCUACUUUAAAACAUGAUUAUAUACUUUUAAUAAAUGUGGCAUUGGUUACGUUAGAUAAUCUCAAUCCAAUUCGAUUAUGGAUAAAUCUAAUUUUGAUAAUAAAUUUAAUUCUUGAGAAACCAAACUCAGAAGUAUAAACUACUACAUGACAUCUUAAUGGCUGAGUUGAGAUAGCAAUGAUUAAUCUAUUUGUUAUAUAAAUUAAGCAAACCCAAUCCCAUAACAUUAAUCUAUUUGUUAUAUAAAGAUAUUGAAUGUUAUGGGAUUGGGUUUGGGUAAUUUUAACUAUAUUCAGAUUAAUGUUAUUUCAAAAUCGAAUAAUUUUGAGUUUAAAUCAUUCAAAUUUGUUGAUCGGAUUUUAUAAAGAUAAAAAAACAUUUUGAAAAUAUGUAAUAUUAAUGGGAUUAUUUUAAACUAUGACAUAAAUACUUGAGUCUCAAAAUAAGCACUAGCUCAAUAAAACGCAUAUGAUAAUUUAGAGUACUGUAAUAAAACACAUAUUGAUAAUUCAGAUAUUACAUUAAACAUUUUUAAACAUACAUGAGACAAUUGUGGUAAAGCUGGCUAUGGAAAUUCUAUGGUAUCGGAUCCACUACUGCACAGGCCGUAAAAUAAGUUGGAACAAUUUUGGGGAGUUCCAAAGGUAUGGGAUGGCCUCAGUCUUCCAUAGCAAAUAAACACCCCCCUGAGUAGUAGAACUCUAGUUCUUCUGUGUUUACUGCAUGAAAUUUGUGGAGAUGCUCCUAUAAGUCGAAAAACUAUGUCCGCAACUUGUCGGACCGUAUAGGUGGAUCCACGUGUCACUAUAGCAAAAUAGACUUUUAGCGGCAUUAUUUUAGGCCUUUAACUGUGUUUUUAAGUGCCACUAAAAGUAUUAGUGGCGUUUUAACAAGCGCCGCAAAAAAACUAAUUAAUCUAAACCCUAAACCCUUAAUCCCUAUCCCCUAAACCAUAAAUCAUAAACCCCUAACCCCUAACCCCUAAACCUUAAACCCUAAACUAUAAUGAUAAUUAAUUCAAUAUUUUAAAAUUAAUACUAUAUAUUUUACGAUUAUAUAAGAAAUUAUUUAAUAUAUAAAUUUAAAAAUAAUCAGCAAUGUACCCAAAAAACUUUAAAAUUAUUUUAAAUAAUAGUAUUUUAAUUUUUCCAUUUUAACAAAUAUUUUUCUAUGUUUUUUUAUUUCAAAUUAUUCCUACGUGUCAUUAUUUUUUUUGAAGAUUUUAAAUAGUCAAUUAAAAAUAAAUUGAAUUUUCAAAAGCGCCGCUAAAGGCCCGAGAACUAGCAGAGUUUUUUCAAAAACGCCGCUAAAGCACCGAGCAUUAGCGCUUCUUCAAAAACGCCACUAAAGCCCCGAGCAUUAGUGGCGCUUAUUCAAAAAUGCCGCUAAAGCCCUGAAAGGUCAGAAAACGACGCCGUUGGGCUUAGGUCUUUUGCGGCGUUUUUUGGAAAAACGCCGCUGAUGCUCAUUUUCAGCGGCAUGUUCUGAAAAGUGUCGCAAAUGCUCGAUUUUUAGCGGCAUUUUUUGUCCAAACGUAACUAAAAAUGAAUAUCAAUGUGUUAAGUAUGACUCCUAUUUUCAGUCAAAUUUGAGAAAUAAUCUUUUAGUUAAACUCUGUUUAUUUGUUUCAGUCAAACACUGAUUAGUUUAGACUAUUUUAUUAUUAUUUGACAUAUGAAUUUAGCUUAUAAAUAGGCUCUUUUACAACCUUAGUAAAAACAUCCAUUAGAGAUUAGAACUCAUAACACAUUUAGAGAAUUUUGUGUUUACGUUUUGAGGGUUCUUUGUUUUCGGGUUUUUGGGGCUUAGUUUUAUCUCUAUUUUUUGUACUCUUCAUUAUUUUGCCAUUAUAGUAAAAUUAUCUUUGCCCGUGGUUUUUUUAUCCUCUUUGGAGGGGUUUUUCCACGUUAAAUUUGUGUGUUCAAUUUCUCAGUUUAUUCCGCUAUUUUUGUUACUUGUUGCUUAAUCGGGUCGAUCCCUAACACAAUGGAAUACAAGAGGUUGAGAAAUAUGUAAUACGUCAACCAACGAGAAAUGCAUCAAAUGAAUACUGAAUAUGAAGAAGGAUAUGCAUGAAAUGGAUAUUGAAUAUAAAGAUGGAUGGAGAGGGAGAACAUAAAUGUGUAAGAUGUAAUAGGAAUUUUUAGUUGUGAGCUUCUUAAUAUUGCCAUUAUUGUUUGGAUUAUAUGUUUGAGAUGUUAGCCAUUGCCUGGUUUGUGUAUUUAGAGAAUUGUUCAGUUUAUGUUUGGUUUUAGUUGCAUAGAAAUCUAUAAGAUUUCUGCCAUAGUUUGAAAAUAUCAUUCUCCACGGUGGUGAAAUGAAUAUAAGCUUAAAAUGCAUAACAAAAUGGAAUUACAAAAUAUUGCAUUAUAUACCCUAAAAAAAAGCUCAUAAUAAACAAUUGAAAGUUUGGAAUCAAAGAAAAAGGGAAAUUUCAUAAAACGGAAAUGGAAAUUCACCAAUCAGAUUCAAGUGAUUGAACAAAAAAAAAUAUCAAAUCUUUUCCCUCUCAAAAAAGGUAUUUACUUUCAAAAGUUUAAGUUUUUAUUUACAUUAAUUGUUUUUUCUUCCAAUUUUCCAUUGAUUGAGUUUCAAUCGUGCUUUACAUUAGAAACCAAGAAUUUAAUUUUGUUUAACUUUUUGAAGGCUAUGAGUUUCGUUACUUUUUAUUAGGUUGUUUUCUGUUAAUUAAGAAAUUAUAAAUAGGUUAAAAUUUUAAUGCAAUGAAAGCUAAUUUUCACUUUAAUCUAUUCAACAUUUUUAAAAUUAACCAAUGUUGGAAAAUUAGAAAUUAGUUCCAAUUAUCAAAAUUCAUAAUGUUGAUAUUGUUUUCUGAGGAAAAAAAUUGCAAGUCGAAGAGGAUUUGAUGGUUAAGGUUGUCAUUAACUAAUUAAAAUAAUUGCUCUCAGUGGCUUAAAUUUUAUAAUUUAAUUCAAAACAGGUCUCACCUGAUGGUUAAGAUUCUUAAACAAAUGAAGAUCCGAUGAACUUCACAACACGAGCAUCGAAUCAGCCACGAAUCCAUGUUGCUAUGAUCCCAUUUCGUUCAAGUGAGUGAAAUUAUGAUAUUUUUUUCAAGUUACCUUGUGUUGCACGGAAGCGUGUAAAAGAGUAAAAUUAUUGUACUAAAUAAUCACACUAAGUUCAAUUCUCAGGAAAGAGAGGUGGAUCACGAGAAUCACUUAAGUACCAUGUCUUUCCUAAUCAGAAUAUCCCUCUAUCGUAAUUUAAUAGCACAAUAAAUCACUACAACCACACUCGUAAAAUAUGCAAAAUAAACAAUAAAGAACACUAGAAUUUUAACAAGGUUCAGCAAAUUUUGCCUACGUCCUCGGGCAAUACUAAAUAUAUUUCACUCCAAAAUACAAGUAAAAUUUUACAAAUAAGGAGAGAGAAUAAUGUCUUAAGGAGAGAAUGACAUAUGUGGGAUGUAGAAAAUGAGAAAUAGUUAGGCCUAUUUAUAGUUGAGGUUCAAGGAUCAACUUGCAAAGUCUCUAUACAAUUAGGAACCAAAAUUGAUAUUAUCCCAUGCCAAAUUUCAACCCAAUUUCGGUGCCUUAAAUGCUCAGAUUGUCGGUGCCAAUAUCCUGACACCAAUAUAUUUGAAAAGUCAAAGAUAGUUGCCAUUUGCCAAUACCUUGUGUGUUAAUUGCUUUAACUAUUCACUUUUCAAAAGAAAAUCUUCUUUAUUCUGAAUGAUGGUUUGAGUUUUGCCAUUCCUAAGGAUGAUAUCUUAAAGAUCAAAUAUAAUUUGAGAAAACUAGCUACACUUGGAUUUCAUUUCUCACUCCGGCAUACGAGUUUGCAAAAUAGCACAGAGACAGUCUGGACUGCUAAGUCUUUUCACUAUUAUAGCGCAGCAACGCUCGGAAACUGGAGCUCUCCGGUAUUUGGUUGCGUAUGUACAUGGAGACAGCUUCUGAGCUUCCUUCUCUACGUCAUGCUUCCCACGGGACCAUAAUAAUCAUGAGUUACAUCCAGUCCAUGGAAUCCUGCAAUGCUUAUACUCACAAUAAAUACUAUAACCGUUGGGUUGCAAAUAAAGAGUUUUAAUAACUCUUAAAAAUUAAACAUCGCUGUAACCAAAAGAAUACAAUUAAUAUAUUAAAUGCUUCUUUGCUUCAUUGUUAAGGUUUGCUCCAUAAGCACUCUGAUUGUCCUCCCAAAAUGGCAUGGUUAUGUUAGGUAUGGGUCCCACUAUGUGGGAAAAACCCAUAUUUUCUGCCACAAUGUUUUGCCUUCUUUUUGGUUUUGUCAAAAGCCAAUUUUUUUGGCCUUUUAACGUGGGAGUGGGCAGCAUUCUUAAUUGAGAGCAAAAAUUCUCAAUUACAUCCAGAGAGAAACAGAGAGUGAGAUUGAAGUAGAAAAAUCAGUUUUUCAAACUUGGUGCAGCAGUGAUCAACUCCUCGAUCGAAGGUCUAUCCGUGGUUCGAUUGAGCAGAUUUUUGGACAGCAGCUAGGUGAUAAGGUGUUCUUGACUUUGUACGGUCGGAUUUUUCAUCUGAGACUUGUAGCGUCGGAAAUACCCAUUUUUCAGCAGCUACAUUUUUGGUGAUGUUCUCUCAUUUUUCUCUCUUUUGCUAAAGAUUACAUAUUGUUAGCCUUGUCGGAGUUGAAUGCUUGUUGUAGGCUUGAUAUUGUGAUCUUGUAGUCGAACAUUUGAUAAUAGUAGAGCUCUUUAUCGGACUCUAAAGUCCCGUGGUUUUUACCCUUAAUUUAGAGGGGUUUUCCACGUAAAAAUAUCGGUGCCUCUAUUUAUUUUUGUUGUGGUUGCAUUAGUUGAUUUGUGGUUGAUUAAGGUUGCUAGAGAACAUAUCUUGUGCUAUUGUGCUUGCCAUAAUUUUUGACAGGAGUUAUAAGGAGAGAAAGAACACCGGUUGUGCUUUCGCUUUGUUUCGGUUGUUCGGUUUCUUCCCAACAAACUGGUACCAGAGCUUGGUUAUUGUGUCAGGUAAUUAUGGAAAUUAAUACGAGUAAGAUGAUUAUGUUGAAUGGCACAAAUUAUCAACUUUGGCGGAAUAAAAUGAAGGACUUGUUGUUUGUGAAGGCUUUGCAUCUUCCGGUCUUUACUACUCAAAAACCCGAUUCGAAAAGUGAUAAAGAAUGGGAAUUUGAGCAUCAACAAGUGUGUGGCUUUAUUCGGCAAUUUGUUGAAGAAAAUGUUUACAACCACAUUGAUCAAGAGACACAUGCUCGAACAUUGUGGGAGAAGCUUGAAAGCUUGUAUGCUUCGAGGUCGGGCAAUAAGAAGUUAUUUUUGCUGAAGAAAAUGAUGGCGCUGAAAUAUAAAGAAGGAAUGUCUAUAGCUGACCAUGUUAGUGAAUUUCAGAGUGUGAUGAAUCAGUUGCUUGGUAUGGGUGUCAAAUUUGAUGACGAGAUUUUAGGACUUUGGUUGCUUGCUACUCUACCAGACUCUUGGGAGACCUUUCGAGUCUCACUCAUUAAUUCUGCCCCACGGGGUAUUAUUACUUUGGAUUUGGCUAAGAGUGGUGUGUUGAAUGAAGAGGUUAGAAGAAGAUCUCAGGGUUCUACAUCACAGUCCGAGGUGUUGGUUAUUGAGAACAGGGGGAGAAACAGAGACAAAGAUGGAAAGGGUAGAGAUAAAAGCCGAAGCAAGUCAAGAUCGAGAUACACGAAUCUUGAGUGUCAUCAUUGUGGUAAGAAAGGUCAUAUCAAGAAAUAUUGCUUCAAGUGGAAGAAAGAGAACAAAGGUGGUGGUGAUAAACACGAUCGGAAUGACGAUGAAAAAUCUGAGCGUGUUGCUACUGUUACUCGUGAAGAUUUGUUAGUUAUUUGUGAUGAGAAUUUGGUCAACCUAGCAUGCGACGAGACUAGUUGGGUGAUUGAUACUGGUGCAUCACUUCAUGUCACGUCGAGGAAGGAAUUCUUCACAUCUUAUACUCCUGGUGAUUUUGGGGUAUUGAAGAUGGGUAAUGAUGGUUUGGUUUCGGUUAUUGGUAUGGGAGAUGUUAGCUUGGUAAGUAACAAUGGAACAAAGUUAACUCUCAAGGAUGUCAGACAUGCACCGGAUGUCCAUUUGAAUUUGAUUUCUGCAGGAAAGCUUGAUGAUGAGGGAUUCUGUAACACCUUCAGUGAAGGGCAGUGGAAGCUGACUAAAGGCUCAUUGGUUGUGGCUCGAGGAAAGAAGAGCUCAAAUUUGUACUUGAUGCAAGCUUUGACUUCUCGAGAGACGGUGAAUGUGACACUGAAUGACAACUCAACUGAGUUGUGGCAUAAACGACUCAGUCACAUGAGUGAGAAGGGGCUUAGCUGUUUAGCGAAGAAGAAUCAACUUUCGGGUUUAAAGAAUGCUACACUGAAGAAUUGUGCUCAUUGUCUAGCAGGAAAGCAGAAAAGAGUUUCAUUUAGAAGCCAUCCUCCUCAUAGGAAAUCAGAGUUGCUAGAGUUGGUCCAUUCAGAUGUUUGUGGUCCGAUAAAAGUAAGAUCACAUAGUGGUGCACUUUACUUUGUGACUUUUAUUGAUGAUUGUUCAAGAAAGCUAUGGGUUUACACUUUGAAGUCUAAAAAUCAAGUCUUUGAGGUGUUUAAACAGUUUCAAGCAUCAGUUGAAAGGGAAACUAGGAAAAAGUUGAAGUGCAUUCGUACUGAUAAUGGUGGCGAGUACAUAGGGUCGUUUCAUGAGUAUUGUCUGCGACAGGGAAUCAGACAUCAGAGAACACCACCAAAGACUCCACAGUUAAAUGGGUUAGCUGAAAGAAUGAACCGAACAUUGAUUGAGAGAGUCAAAUGUUUGUUGUCAGAUGCAAAGUUACCAAGAUCGUUUUCGGCUGAAGCUUUGAAUACAGUGACACAUGUGAUAAAUCUGUCUCCUAGUGUUCCUUUGAAAGGUGAUGUGCCAGAUAGAGUUUGGUUUGGUAAAGACGUGUCAUAUGAUCACCUACGUGUGUUCGGUUGUAAAGCAUUUGUUCAUGUUCCAAAGGAUGAAAGAUCCAAGUUGGAUGCCAAGGCUCGACAAUGCAUUUUUAUUGGUUAUGGUCUAGAUGGUGAGUUUGGUUAUAGACUCUAUGAUCCAGUUCAGAAGAAACUCGUGAGAAGCAGAGAUGUUGUCUUCAUUGAGGAUCAGACCAUUGAUGACAUUGAUAAGACGGAGAAAGUGCAUUCACAAGGUAGUGGUGACUUGAUCGAUGUGAAUCCGGUUCCCCUAGACUCUUCACCAGAUCCUAUCCAGGAUGAUGUGCAUGGUGAUGUUAGUGGUGACCAUCAGACUAUAGGUGACUUUGAUACUCCCAUGGAUGAUGUUGUGAAUGAUCAACAACAAGCACCUAUAGCUCCACCAGCAGUUCCACUUCGAAGGUCUUCCAGAGAUCGACGAUCUUCUGUCAGGUAUUCUCCUGAUGAAUAUGUUCUUUUGACUGACGGGGGAGAACCUGAAUGUUAUGAAGAGGCUAUGGAGAGUGAAUGCAAAGAUCAGUGGGUUGAAGCGAUGAAAGACGAACUUCAAUCUUGCAUGAGAACCAUACUUUUGAAUUGGUGAAACUGCCUAAGGGCAAAAGAGCUUUGAAGAAUCGGUGGGUUUACAGGUUGAAGCAAGAAGAGAAGUCUUCAUCUCCACGAUACAAAGCUAGAUUGGUCGUCAAGGGUUAUACUCAGAAAAAGGGGGUUGAUUUUGAAGAAAUAUUUUCUCCGGUUGUGAAGAUGUCCUCUAUCAGAACUAUACUGAGUUUGGCAGCUUGUUAUGACCUAGAGGUUGAACAAAUGGAUGUGAAAACUGCUUUUCUUCAUGGUGACUUGGAAGAAGAGCUUUACAUGGAGCAGCCAGAGGGUUUUGUUGCACAAGGGAAAGAGGACUAUGUGUGCAGAUUGAAGAAGAGCUUGUAUGGUUUGAAGCAAGCUCCAAGGCAAAGGUACAAGAAGUUUGAGUCUGUUAUGGGGGAGCAAGGCUACAAGAAGACUACUUUUGAUCAUUGUGUGUUUGUUAAGAGAUUCUCUGGUGAUGAUUUUAUUAUUCUUUUGCUCUAUGUUGAUGAUAUGCUUAUUGUUGGUCAGAAUGCUUCUAGAAUUGAGAAGUUGAAACAAGAGUUGAGUAAAUCCUUUGCAAUGAAGGAUUUGGGGCCAGCAAAGCAAAUUCUUGGCAUAAGACUGACACGUGAUAGAAAGGCCAAGAAAUUAUGGUUAUCACAAGAGAGGUACAUUGAGAAAGUACUUCAAAGGUUUAGUAUGGACAAAGCUAAAGCGGUGAAUACUCCCUUUGCUAUGCACUUUAGAUUGAGUGUUAAGCAUAGUCCUUCCACAGAAAAGGAGAAGGAAGAGAUGCAGAAAAUUCCUUACUCUUCAGCCGUGGGUAGUUUGAUGUACGCAAUGGUUUGCACGAGACCAGACUUGGCUUAUGCCGUUGGUACAAUUAGUCGGUUUCUUUCUAAUCCAGGCAGAGAGCAUUGGAAUGCAGUGAAGUGGAUUAUGAGAUAUCUUCGUGGCACUUCCAACAUGAAACUUUGUUUCGGCAAUGAGAAACCUGUUCUUGUUGGGUAUACAGAUUCAGACAUGGCCGGAGACAUUGACUCGAGGAGAUCUACUUCAGGUUACUUAAUCACUUAUGCAGGGGGAGCUGUGGCAUGGCAAUCGAGACUGCAAAAGUGUGUUGCAUUGUCCACCACCGAAUCAGAGUUCAUUGCAGCAAUCGAAGCGUGUAAGGAGAUGCUUUGGAUGAAGAAGUUUGUGCAUGAGCUUGGUUUUACUCAGGAGAAGUAUGUCCUGUACUGUGAUAGCUAGAGUGCUAUUCAUCUUGGUAAGAACUCAACUUUUCAUGCUAAAUCUAAGCAUAUUGAUGUGAGGUACCAUUGGAUACGAGAUGUUCUUGAAGCUAAGCUGUUAGAGCUUGAGAAGAUACACACUAAUGAUAAUGGUGCUAAUAUGUUGACGAAGGCCUUACCAAGAGGAAAGUUUGAAGCAUGUUGUUUGACCUCCGGCAUGGAGGCAUUCCCCACAUAGUUGGAGGGGGAGAUUUGUUAGGUAUGGGUCCCACUAUGUGGGGAAAACCCAUAUUUUCUGUCACAAUGUUUUGCCUUCUUUUUGGUUUUGUCAAAAGCCAAUUUUUUUGGCCUUUUAACGUAGGAGUGGGCAGCAUUCUUAAUUGAGAGCAAAAAUUCUCAAUUACAUCCAGAGAGAAACAGAGAGUGAGAUUGAAGUAGAAAAAUCAGUUUUUCAAGCUUGGUGCAGCAGUGAUCAACUCCUUGAUCGAAGGUCCAUCCGUGGUUCGAUUGAGCUGAUUUUUGGAUAGCAGCUAGGUGAUAAGGUGUUCUUGACUUUGUACGGUCAGAUUUUUCAUCCGAGACUUGUAGCGUCGGAAAUACCCAUUUUUCAGCAGCUACAUUUUUGGUGAUGUUCUCUCAUUUUUCUCUCUUUUGCUAAAGAUUACAUAUUGUUAGCCUUGUCGGAGUUGAAUGCUUGUUGUAGGCUUGAUAUUGUGAUCUUGUAGUCGAACAUUUGAUGAUAGUAGAGCUCUUUAUCGGACUCUAAAGUCCCGUGGUUUUUACCCUUAAUUUAGAGGGGUUUUCCACGUAAAAAUAUCGGUGCCUCUAUUUAUUUUUGUUGUGGUUGCAUUAGUUGAUUUGUGGUUGAUUAAGGUUGCUAGAGAACAUAUCUUGUGCUAUUGUGCUUGCCAUAAUUUUUGACAGGAGUUAUAAGGAGAGAAAGAACACCGGUUGUGCUUUCGCUUUGUUUCGGUUGUUCGGUUUCUUCCCAACAGGUUAUACACUUAUACUUGCAAGUGUCAUCUUAUUAAUAACAAACUUUGCAGCCCUUGAGACCCUAACAGUUGUCUACAUUCAAUAAAUUUUACAAUGAAGUUAUACUAUAUGAAUAUGAUAUAAAAAAAUUAAUUAAUAUAGACAUUAAAAAAGCAUGAAUACAAAGCAUGUUCUGAAUAUUUUGAAAAAAAAACGUACACAUUAAUAUAUCAAAAUUUAUGAUUCACUAUUUUGUUAUUUACUUUCACAGGAUUAUGGUUUCUUUUUUAUAAAUUGGGUCCAACUUUCCAAAUUUUUGUACCAAAGUCUUAGUAAGUAUCCAAUAAAUGUUGUUGGAAAAAGUCAUAUAGUAAGGGUCCAACUUUGAUGAAAUAAUGUAACAAUGUUUUUAUUAAUUUCAUAAAAUAGAAAUUGAAUAAUUGAAUUUAAAAUUUAUGAACGUAAAAUUAGAAAUCAAAGGAUUUCAUUAAGAAUUUAAGUUGAUGUUGAAAACCAAAGAAGUAAGAAUAUGUGUAGGAUUUCAUUAAGUAAGAAUAGUUUAUUUAAUUAAUUAGGAAUUUUAAUUUUAUUUAGUAAAUCAAUAUAUAAUUAUAAGUCGGAUGAUCAAUUUAAAAUAGUUUUGAGGGUAUAUAUAUCUUUCACUAUUUAGAGUUUUGAAGUUGGUGUUUUUAUAUAUAGUAUUGAUUAGUUAGUUCGGAUAAUUAGUAUAUGAAAGAACAAAAAAAUGAUAUACUCAAAUGGAACUAAAUUAGCUCCGAAUAAUUGAAGUUUGAAAUCAAGGACCAGUGCCUAGAAGUGGGGCAUCAUGCGGAUAUUCUAUCUUGGAACAUUUGCGGGAUAGGGUCAGAUCAAAACAAAUGGCAUUAGGGGAUGUGUUUAUGUGAUGUGGCCGAGUUGAAAGAUUCAACUUGUGAUGGCGUUGGAUUCAGUUUGUUGUGCUCUCUUUUCGUUUAUUUUGAGGAGCUUGUUCAUGAACAUGUUUGCUUGGUUGGCAUUGAGAUGGGGGCUUAUCUUGCGUGCUACAUCAUUAUGAUCAUUUGGUCGGCUCAAAUUGAUGUCAUUCUUAGUAAGUUGGUUAUGAACUUGGAUGGCUUCUGCUCUGUACCAUUUUGAGGACUUUGUAAUGGCUUUGGGCUUUAUGCGAUGAUUUGUUUAUCACUUGGCUAGCUUUUGUCACUGGUUCAUGGAAUUUUCUGCUUCUAUUUUUGUUGAGCUUAACGAUGAAUGGAGCCUGGGUUGGACGCAUGGGUAAUUUUUCUUUCGUAAUUCUUGGAAUCUGAAUGCUUCUACGUUCUCCGAUUUAACAGGCACUCUCGUUUGCCUCAUUUUGUGUGGUGAUAAUUUGGAUUUGGAUCUAUGAUAAGCUACGUUGAGGAUGUAAUAAAAUAUUCGUGUAAAAUUUUUUUAUUAGUAUUAAUUUUACAUUUUAUCUUUAAAAUAAUUUUUAUUAAAAAAUCAUAUUUUUUUACCGUUAGUAUAUUUUUUAAAUUCAAAAUAAAUGUUGACAAGAAUCAAAAGAUAAUUGAAUCAACUAAGCAAGCAAAGAAGCUAACCCAUAUAUAAAAGAUUGAUAAUUAAAUAAAUUAUGAAGGGAUGAAAGUUAAUAACAAAUUUGAUUACAGUAGGCAAUUUUGAGUAUGGUGAGUGGCAGUGACUACAAGGAUCUAAAGUCAUUUUUAAAUUUAAACCGAACAAAUAUAUUCGAUUCGAAUUUCAUCUCGUUCGACUCGAUUUGAGAAAAUUUCAAAUUGAGUUAAGAUGAUAAAAUAUGAUUCGUCAACUUGAUUAACUCGAAACUUUUCCAUUCGAUUCGAUUUGAUCGAACGUUCACCCCUAGUCGGGCAUACAUAGUCCAACAACUACUCAAGACUAAUGUAUGUCACAAAUGAAAAAAUCUAUAAGCGGAUUCAAGAUCUAUUCUACUUAGUUUCUCCCCGAUUUAUGUCAGUUCAGUCAGUCACAUUUAUACAUUUAUCUUCUAGGAGUCAUUCAAUCCGAUGCACAAGACAAAAGAUCUCUCCAAUUAAACUUAAUAGAUGACAUAUAAGUUUUUCAACCAGUUUGCUAAAUUUUGGUUAGAGUGAGAGUUUUUUUACUAACUUACCUUAUUUGUUUAAAAAUUUUGCUGAUUAUAAAUAUCAUAUGAAACUGAUUUUCCUACCAUAUCAAUUUGCCUUGUUUUUUUCCAAGUUUAUUGGAUGGUGGUUAGAGAGCGAAGAGUAAAUAUUAUCUUUUACACGCAAAUAAGGAAAUUUUUUUCGAAAAUGCGUGUAAAUAAUGUAUUAAAUACUUUCCUUUUAUGCUUUUUUUUCUUCAAGGUUAAGGUUGCCGCCAUAGAUGACUCCUAACUUUUAGGAAAAUAUAGUUACCAUAGAUGCAGAUGCCAAGAUUUGAAGUGCCAGAAGCUUUGGUUAUGGAAAUUCUGUGUAAAGUUCCAGUUAAGUCCCUUAUUCGUUUCAACUGUCUCUGUAAGUAUUGGUGUUCUUCUUUUCAAACUCCUCGUUUCAUUUCCAAGCAUUAUCACAACAACCUUAAAAACAAUAACCUUAACCCCGUUCUCCAACGAUUUGAUGCCAAUGCCAACAUCCCUUAUUUCUCUCAACUUUCAGUUGAAAAAGAUAAAAACUUUUUAGUAAAACAAAACAUUCGCUCUCCUCUUUUUAUGCACAAUACCCCCUAUGUUUGGGGUGCUCGUCACGGAUUAUUUUGUUUACAUAGUCCUUGCAUGGAUAAUACGGAGGUUUCCAUUUGGAACCCAUCAACUUGAGAAUUUAAAAUCCUUCCUCCGUCCUCAGUCCAACGACCUACUUACCUAGGCCUUACUUGUGGCUUUGUUCAUUUUGACUGCGGUGCUUUCGAGUUUGAUUCUAAAACUGAUGACUACAAAUUCAUACGAUUUGUUACUCUUUCUUUUGUUGAUAGUGAAUGUGAAACUUCAAGUGGUGAUGGUAUGUCCCAAGUUGAGUUGUAUUCUCUUAAAUGCGAUUCUUGGAAGGAAAUUCCAUCUCCUAAUUAUAGACCAUUUGAUUUAUAUUUGAGUAACAAUUACUUAGAUGGAAUUUUUUAUUGGCAAACAACGACGGGGAACGCUCCUUAUGAAAAUUUUUUGAUUCUUUCAUUUGACACAGCUAAUGAGAAGUUUUCGGCUUCACCUAUCCCAGAAUUUGUCGGGAUUUACCCACAACAUGAUAUCCUCGAGGUAUUGGUGUUUAAUGGAUCUCUUGGUGUUAUUGCUUACACGGUGGAAAGAAUUGACAUGUCUUUUGAUUUAUGGGUUAUGAAUGGAGAAGUAUGGACUAAGCAAUUCAGUAUUGAAUCUAUUCCUGGAGUUGUCAGACCAUUAGGGUUUUGGAAAAAUGGUGAAAUGUUUCUUUUAAACACAAAAUAUGAAGUAGUCUUGUUUGAUCCCUCCACCCAAGAACUUAAGGUGCUUCGGAUCAUCACUUACCUGGAUCAUCAUCGAGAGUACGUCUCUCUCUUUCUUUUCUUUUUUUUUUUAUGUUGAGAGCCUAAUUCCAAUCAAUGGAAUACAAGAGCAUAAGAGUCAUAUAAUACGUCAACUAAUUAAAGAUGCAUCAAAUAAACACUGAAUGUAAUCUUUCCUAGUUUAUAUUCAUAAUUAUCAUAAUGAUUUUACAACCUUCCAAGCUCUCUUGCUUUUUUUAUCAAAGGAUGGAAUGAUGUAGUCAAUUGAAAAACCCUUUUGAUGAUAAUUAUUAUUGAAAUUAGUUUAAUAUAUUUAAAAUGCUUAUAUACAGGGAAACAUUACCUUUAUAAGUUCUUCCUUUUACAUUUGAUAAUGCAACAAUUAGUUUCUUAUCAAUUAAUUCUUCUAACAAUUGCCCUUCAAUUUCUACAAGACUUCCAGUUGCAUAUACAUCACAAAUAUUUUAAAAAUAAUAAUAAUAAUUUAUUAAACCUAAAUUAAACACUAAACGUUAACAUUAUUAUCUUUGGAUAUCAAAAUAUAUAAAUUUUUUCAAAUAUAGGUAUACUAGAUUGGACCAAAAAUAACAUAAGUACCACCUUAGAAAAAGGUGUCAAAUUCUGGUUCCAAGCGAUAUAUCAAGUCAAAAUUAGAUAUUUAAACAUAAUUGAUUUGAAGAUAGAGAUUGCUAAAAAUUCUCAGGUAUUCAUUUGAACCUUUUGAAAAUUUUUAAAGUUAGCAAUUGGAUUUGAUCGUUUCAAGCAUGGAACUAAACUUUAAUUUGGCAUAUCUACUUACAUUACAAAAAGGCAAAAUGGGGGAUUAGAUGCUUAAAAAGUUACCCUUGCUUUCCCUCAUGUUAGAAACUUGAGCACUAGUUGUUGAAUAUUUGUAAGUUGGAUAUGUAAAGGUUAAGUCAAAAGGAAAAGAAAAGCAAAACCUUGGAAUUUUUAGAGACGAAACUUGAUUAAAUAAUUUUGGGAUGGUAUUCAUCCCUAAUUAUUUUCGUAUGUUUUUACGAAUUUGGGGACGGAAUUCGUCCAUAAAGCUUUAGGGACGAAAUUAAUCUAUGAAGAUUAUUUUUCGUAAUUAUCCCUAAAAAAAUUUAAAAAUAGUUUUUAAGAAUGCAUGUAAGGGACUGCUUAAAUUGUCUCCAAAUCUAUUAGGGACAUUUUUAAUCUUCCCAAAACCCCUAAAUUUUGUAGUGAACUAUGCCAUAUAAACUAACUUACCUUAUUUGUUUACAAAUUUUUCCAUGAAUUAUAUACAUCAUAUGAAACUGAUUUUCCUAAAAUACUAAUUUGCCUUGUUUUUUUCCAAGUUUAUUGGAUGGUGGUUAGAGAGAAAAGUGUAAAUAUUAUCUUUUACAGGCAAAUUAGAGAGAGAGAAAAAAGAGAAGAAGAUGCAGAUGCCAAGAUUUGAAGUGCCAGAAGCUUUGGUGACGGAAAUUCUGUCUAAGCUUCCAGUUAAGUCCCUUAUGCGUUUCAACUGCAUUUGUAAAUAUUGGUGUUCUUCUUUUCAAACUCCUCAUUUCAUUUCCAAGCAUUAUCACAACAACCUUAAAAACAAUAACCUUAAUCCCCUUCUCCAGCGAUUUGAUGGCAACGCCAAUCUCGCUUAUUUAUCUCAACUUUCAGUAGAAAAAGAUGAAAACUUCUUAGUAAAACAAAACAUUCGCCUUCCUUUUUUCAUUCACGAUUCCCCCUAUGUUUGGGGUGCUUGUCAUGGAUUUUUUUGUUUACAUAGUUCUUUCAUGAAUGAUAUGGAGGUUGCCAUUUGGAACCCAUCAACUAGAGAAUUUAAAAUCCUUCCUCAGUCCUCAGUCCAACGACCUACUUACCCAGGCCUUACCUGUAAGUAUGUUAUUUUUGCCUGCGGUGCUUUCGAGUUUGAUUUUAAAAAUGAUGACUACAAAUUCAUACGAUUUGUUACUCUUUGUUAUGUUGAUACUGAAUGUGGAAUUGAAAGCCCUGAUGAUGUGUCCCAAGUUGAGUUGUAUUCUCUGAAAUGCGAUUCUUGGAAGGAAAUCCCAUCUCCUAAUUAUAGCCCACUUGAUUAUUGUUUGAGUAAUAAUUGCUUAGAUGGAAUUUGUUAUUGGCAAAUAGUAAUGGGGAACUCUCCUUAUGAAAAAGUAAUGAUUCUUUCAUUUGACAUGGCUAAUGAGAAGUUUUCGGUUUCACCUAUCCUUGAAUUUGUCGGGUUUUUCUCAAAAACCAAUAUUAACGUAUUGGUGUUUAAUGGAUCAGUUGGUGUUCUUGUUUACCCGGUGGAAGGAAUUGACAAGUCUUUUGAUUUAUGGGUAAUGAAUGGAAAAGAAUGGACUAAACAAUUCAGUAUUGAAUCUAUUCCUGGAGUUGUCAACCCAUUGGGGUUUUGGAAAAAUAAUGAACUAUUUCUUUUAAAUACAAAUUAUGAAGUAGUCUUGUUUGAUCCCUCCACCCAAGAGCUUGGGAUCAAUUCUUACCUGGAUCAUCAUCGAGAGUACGUCUCCCUCUUUUUUUAUGUUGAGAGCCUGGUUUCAAUCAAUGGAAUACAAGAGCAUAGGGAUCAUAUAAUACGUCAACUAGUUGGAGAUGCAUCAAAUAAUAUAAAUAGAAAUAUAGAUCAAGUAGAUACUAAAUAUGAUGAUGGAUAGGGAACUUGAACAUAAAUGUGUAAGACCUAAUGAGCAUUUUUAUGUAGACUACAGUCACUUGUGAGCUUCUUAAUAUUACUGUUAUUAUUUGGUUUAUAUGUUUGAGAUGUUAUCCUUUUCAACUUUUCAAGCUCCCUUGCUUUCUUUAUCAAAGGAUUGACUGAUGUAGUCAAUUGAAAAACCCUUUUGAUGAUAAUUUUUAUUGAAAUUAGUUUAAUAUAUUCAAAAUGCUUAUAUCCAACGAAACAUUACAUUUGAUAAUGCAACAAUUAGUUUCUUAUCUUUUAGUUGGAUUUAUUCCUUGAAGGGUUGUUUGAGACUUGCUAACAUAGAAACGAUUUAUCACAAUCCCUAUUAAACAAUAGGGAAAUAUAAUAUAAUAUAAUAUAAUAAGAAGAAGCAAGGUAAAUAAGGAUUCUUGGAAACCAAGACUUCAACGAUCUAAUACAACUUCCUUGAUUCAAGGGAUUAGAUAAGGGUGAUUCGAUCUAAUCCGAUUCUCCAAAUAAGUUUCCCCAAGUAAUAUGAUCUUCAUUAAUGGGCUAGAUAUUGACACAUAAAUAAUUAUUAAUUUUAAAUAAAUAAAAUUGAAAAUCUUAAGUAUAAUUUGAAAUGGCUAGAUAAAUUUAAUUAUCACAAAGAUAAAUAACAUUAUCAUAAAUAUAAAUAUCAUUUCAAUAUAAUAAAGAAUAUUUAUCUUAAUAUUUAAAUUUUUUAUCAUUAGAUUUUUGAAAAUUGUUACAAUUUAAUUUAAUUUUUUUAUUUCAUUAAACUUCAAAAUUAUCAUAAAAUAUGUACUAUUUAACUUAAAUUUAAGAUGACAACAUAUAUAAUUCUUUUAUUUUAACAAAUCUAUAUAAAUGUCCACAAGUAUGGUUUAAAAUAAAGUUGGGGAAAAAGUGAAUAUUGUAAAAUCCACAUGAAAGAUGAAAUUUGUGUUGUUGAAGUCUACCACAACAUAUGAGGACUACAAUGAAUUGUUUUAAUGAAUUGUUUUAAUGUAUUUUGGAGUUGAAAUAAUCCACAAAAAAGAAUAUUAAACUAAAAAAAAUUGUUAAUUGGCACAUGGUUAAGCAUUAUUUUUUCCUUCUUUUGGAACCCAGUUUGAGCUUUGCUCAAAGAUGGAUGCAUCCAUUAAUUGAGCUAAAUAAGAACAGCCCAUGCAGUGUGUAUGGCGCCAUAAAUUUUACAAUUAAUGUUUUAAAAAAGUGUACAACUUGUAUAAUCACAUGGUUUACUGAAACCUGUCUGCAUUAGAUAUAGCAACAACAUUAAUUGUUUCUCGUCACAUGGUUUACUGAAAGGGAAAGAAAACAAUAGUCAUCAUCCCCAUUCUCAACUAUAAAAACCCUUGCAUAAUGGAGGUUCAGCAUUGUGCAAAAGCUAUCACUUAAACAAAUAAUGGCUUAUCUUCGACCAUUGAUCUUCUAUAUUCUGGCUGCUCUUGCAAUAUUCAUGCUUAUUUCUCCCUCCCAUUCCUCUUUAGAUAAUGUUAAUGACAGGGUUACUUUGUCACUGUACUAUGAAACAAGUUUAUGCCAGCAUUGUGCCUCCUUUAUCUCCAAUGACCUUGUCAAGGUCUUCCACACUGACCUCCAUACCAUUAUCAAUCUAAGAUUGGUCCCUUGGGGCAAUGUUGAAAUCCAUUGCCAGGUUUACAACUCCAUUCUUCAUUUUAAUGUAUUUUCAUUAUUAACUAAUGAAGUUCAAUUUCUUUUUGGUACUAUAACUAAUUAUAGUUUAUGCAACAAUGUGCAGCA
rnacentral:lncRNA from 1 species